CAAAUUCUUUUUAACCUUAUCUCGCAUUUCAAAUUCCAACUCAUUUGAAUUUGUUAUUUAGAGAGUGCUUGGAUACCUACUAUUGGAUAUAAGUGAACCCUAGUUGCUGGAAGUGAUAUUUUUCUAAUAUUUGGAUUUCUUUAAGUUAAUCAGAAACAUAUAAGACAAACUAUAGGAGCUAGAUAGUUGAUAUGGAAGUAGGAGAUUUUGGAUUAAAUUAUUUUGUAGCAAAAUGGAGAAAAAUUUUCAAAGAUAAACGUGAAAAGAAGGAG
rnacentral:lncRNA from 1 species